rnacentral:rRNA from 1 species
AAUGAACGCUGGCGGCGCGCCUAAUAUAUGCAAGUCGAGCGAGAAGACGUAGCAAUACGUUUGUAAAGCGGCGAACGGGUGAGGAAUACAUGGGUAACCUACCCUCGAGUGGGGAAGUAACUAGCCGAAAGGUUAAGCUAAUACCGCGUACGCUCCUUGGACUUCGGUUCAGGGAGGAAAGCGAUACCGUGGGUAUCGCGCUCUUGGUUGGGCUCAUGUCCUAUCAGCUUGUUGGUGAGGUAACGGCUCACCAAGGCUUCGACGGGUAGCUGGUCUGAGAGGACGAUCAGCCACACUGGCACUGCGACACGGGCCAGACUCCUACGGGAGGCAGCAGUAAGGAAUAUUGCGCAAUGGGCGAAAGCCUGACGCAGCGACGCCGCGUGGGGGAGUG